UACGUAGGGUGCGAGCGUUGUCCGGAAUUAUUGGGCGUAAAGGGCUCGUAGGCGGUCUGUCGCGUCGGGAGUGAAAACUCAGGGCUUAACCCUGAGCCUGCUUCCGAUACGGGCAGACUAGAGGUAUGCAGGGGAGAACGGAAUUCCUGGUGUAGCGGUGAAAUGCGCAGAUAUCAGGAGGAACACCAACGGCGAAGGCAGCACUCUGGGCCGGUACUGACGCUGAGGAGCGAAAGCGUGGGGAGCAAACAGG
rnacentral:rRNA from 1 species